rnacentral:rRNA from 1 species
UCCGUAGGUGGAUAAUUAAGUCAGAGGUGAAAUCCUGCAGCUCAACUGUAGAAUUGCCUUUGAUACUGGUUAUCUUGAAUUAUUAUGAAGUAGUUAGAAUAUGUAGUGUAGCGGUGAAAUGCAUAGAUAUUACAUAGAAUACCAAUUGCGAAGGCAGAUUACUAACAAUAUAUUGACACUGAUGGACGAAAGCGUGGGGAGCGAACAGGAUUAGAUACCCUGGUAGUCC